rnacentral:rRNA from 1 species
AUGAGAUUGGUAGGGCUGGCGGCCAUCGAAAGAGCAAGAAGAAGGCAUGCUUCCCAGGUGCUCUAGCUGCGUGUGGGAGAUGCCAGCACCAAGUUCUUUCAUGCCAAGUGUUGUUCCAGAAGGCACAAAAACUUCAUCCACUCCAUCCAGAGCGAUGACAGAGUUGCAAUAACCCAUGCUAAUAAAGCCCAAGUCAUUCAUGAUCAUUUUAGCAAGGCUAUGGCAGCUGACACAGGCCGGAGUGUCAUGCUCAACUGGAGCUUGCUGCGGCUUCCGAGAGUUCAAGCGGCUGGACUGGAAAAUCCCUUCACUGAAGAGGAAGUUUGGGCAGCAAUUUUGCAGUCGCCGGCAGAAAAAGCUCCAGGGCCUGACGGCUUCAUUGGCAGUUUUUACAGGGCCUGUUGGCCGAUCAUCAGGGCCGACAUCAUGGCUGCUUUCCACCGCUUCUACAACCUCGCGCGGGGGGGGGGGGGUAAUUUAGCUGCCCUGAACACCAUGUUUGUGGCGUUGUUGCCAAAGAAAGAUGGUGUUGUGAGAAUGAAUGAUUUUCGACCGAUUAGCCUGAUUCACUCCUUCGCGAAGUUUGUCACCAAGGUUCUGUCAAUUAGGCUGGCAAGAGUGAUCCACGCUAUUGUGUCACCGGCGCAAUCAGCUUUCAUGAAGACAAGGUGCAUCCAGGAUAGUUUUUUGUAUGUGCAAAAUGGUGUCUGA